CCUACGGUGGGCAGCAGUGGGGGAUAUUGCACAAUGGGGGGAACCCUGAUGCAGCGACGCCGCGUGAGGGAAGACGGCCUUCGGGUUGUAAACCUCUGUCGCAGGGGACGAAAAAAAUGACGGUACCCAAGGAAUAAGCCCCGGCUAACUACGUGCCAGUAGCCGCGGUAAUACGUAGGGGGCAAGCGUUGUUCGGAAUGACUGGGCGUAAAGGGUGUGUAGGCGGUGUAGCAAGUUAGAAGUGAAAUACCUAGAGCUUAACUCAGGUGCUGCUUCUAAAACUGCUAUACUUGAGUGCAGUAGAGGAAAGUGGAAUUCCUAGUGUAGCGGUGGAAUGCGUAGAUAUUAGGAGGAACAUCAGUGGCGAAGGCGACUUUCUGGACUGUAACUGACGCUGAGGCACGAAAGUGUGGGGAGCAAACAGGAUUAGAUACCCGGGUAGUC
rnacentral:rRNA from 1 species